UACGGGGGGAGCAAGCGUUGUUCGGAUUUACUGGGCGUAAAGGGCGCGUAGGCGGCCAGCACAAGUCAGUUGUGAAAUCUCCGAGCUUAACUCGGAAAGGUCAACUGAUACUGUGCGGCUAGAGUGCGGAAGGGGCAACUGGAAUUCUUGGUGUAGCGGUGAAAUGCGUAGAUAUCAAGAGGAACACCGACGGCGAAGGCAGCUCGCUGGGACGGUACUGACGCUGAGGCGCGAAAGCGUGGGGAGCGAACAGG
rnacentral:rRNA from 1 species